rnacentral:rRNA from 1 species
AUGGUGCAGUUCGCAGCAGCAGACCUCCGCCAAGUUAUGGACAAGAAAAAUAACAUUCGUAACAUGUCUGUGGUUGCUCAUGUGAACCAUGGCAAGUCCACGCUUAUAGAUUCUCUUGUCAUAGCUGCUGGGAUUGUUAGACAGGAGGCUGGUGAUGUUCCCAUGACUGAGACCCGUGUAGAUGAAGCAGAGCGUCGUAUUUCCAUCAAAGCCACCGGAAUCUCUCUUUUGUAUGAAAUGAAUGACGAGUCACUCAAGGCUCACAAGGUCACAGCUGCUCUUCGUAUUUCUGAUGGUGCUCUGGUGGUAAUUGAUUCUAUCGAGGGUGUCUGUGUGCAAACUGAAAGUGUGCUGUGCCAAGCUCUUGGUGAGAUGGUUAGGCCUGUACUUUGUCUGAAUAAGAUGGACGAAUUAUUUCCUGGGCUUCAAGGUGAAGUUGUGAAGCAUAAAUUUACAGGUGAGCAAACAUACCAGAUUCUGAACAAUGCCAUUCAGAAUGCCAAUACCAUUGUGGCAACACAUGGAGACGCCCGCCUUGGAGAUGUCCAGUUCUACCCUGAGAAGGGAAAUGUGACAUUCUCUGCUGGAUUACACGGCUGGGCUUUUACGCUGACUAGCUUUGCUAAGGUGUAUGCUCCGAAGGUGGGUGUGGAAGAAUCUUAUAUGGUUAAGAAGCUUUGGGGCGACAACUUUUAUGACCACACCACAAGGAGAUGGACCAAGGAGAAGACCCGUUCCAAAACUUGUAAAAGAGGAUUUGUCUUGUUCAUCUAUGAUCAAAUCGAGAGAAUGAUCCAAGCCUGCAUGGAGAAUCAGAAAGAUGAAUUGUGGAGAAUGUUGCAGAAGGUUGGGGUGAACUUGAGGGAUGAUGAGAAGAACCUAACAGGCAUGGCUCUUGUGAAGUGUGUCAUGCAAACUUGGCUCCCAGCCAGUACUGCUCUGCUUGAGAUGAUGAUCUUCCACCUCCCCUCUCCAUUACAAGCACAGAAAUAUCGUGUGGAGAACCUGUAUGAGGGCCCCCUUGAUGAUAAAUACGCAGAAGCUAUUAAAAAUUGUGAUCCUGAAGGUCCUCUUAUUCUGUACGUUUCCAAGAUGGUCCCAGCAUCUGAUGUGGGCAGCUUCUUCGCGUUUGGUCGUGUCUUCUCUGGAAGGAUUGCAGCUGGCAUGAAGGUCCGGGUCAUGGGGCCUUCCUAUGUCCCCGGCAUGCAACUGAUUUAUACGUGGAGUCUGUCCAGCGUACCAUUAUAUGGAUGGGAAAGAAGCAAUGUGACGUUCCGGAUGUUCCUUGCGGUUCCGUCUGAGUCUCCCAAACUUGUACAAGGUUUGAAGCGUCUGGCGAUGUCUGAUCAUGUGGUUCUGUGGAGCCAGGUAGAGCCUGGUACCUUUACGGUUGCUGGAGUGGGAGAGCUUCAUUUGGAAAUUUGCUUGAAGGAUCUACAGGAAGACUUUAUGGAUGGUGUUGAAGUUGUUGUUUCCAGUCCGCCUGUUGUUUCCUUCCGUGAGACUGUCCGCAAGUCUUGUGAUCCUGUGGAGAGGAAGUCCAGAAACAAGCAAAUCCAAUGCAGCUUGUCUGUGGUAGCCCGCCCCUUGGAUGAAAACCUAGUCGAGGCUAUUGAAGAUGGUCGCUUGGGUCCAUGUACUGACCAUGCGGUACGAUCUGAGAUCCUUGCUAAGCAUGGUUGGGAUAAGGAUCUCGGUGAUAAGAUUUGGUGCUUUGGUCCUGAUGCUGUUGGCCCGAAUGUGAUUGUUAAUAGGUGCAAUAUAAUACAGAAUCUGGAGUUAGCGAAGAAAGUUAUCGUGGCUGGCUUUGAAAUGGUGGCAAAAGAAGGCGCAUUGGCAAAAGAAAAGUUGCAUGGCAUAUGCUUUGAGGUUCAUAAUGUUAAUAUACGUGCUGAUGAAGCUGUGAGAGGUACAACUGCUCAGCUCAAUGAGAUGGUUAGGACAGCACUUAUCGAGUCUCAGCUCGCCGCCAAGCCAAGGCUUCUCGAACCCACCUACAUUGUGGCGAUCCAGUGCCCUAAGAGUGCCCUCAGCACUAUCUACGGAAUUCUCCACCAGAGGAAUGGUUCUGUGUAUGAGGAGUUUGUGAGAGAAGGCACGAUGCUACACAUCCUGAAGGCUUACGUUCCAGUUUAUGAUUCCUUUGGCCUCUCCAAGGCAAUCAGUGCUGCAACAUCUAAGCUGGUCACCCCGCAGUGUAUUUUUGGAUAUUGGAGCGACAUGUGCUCUGAUCCUUUCCAGGCAAAUGCGCCAGCUGGGCAAAUGGUCUUGGAUAUCCGCAAGAGGAAGAAGAUGGGCAGGCCCUCUUUCCAGAAUCACAGACGUGCACUAGCAAACUGUUUAGUGCUACUGCUCGAAGCCGACUUUGCUGGUAGAGCAAGGCAGCUCGGUUGCUCAUCCAUAGUAUGUGAUAUGAUGUCGUGUCUGAUUCGGAUUCUGUGGUUUCCCCCUUUGCAGUGCGCUCUUCUCGUUGCUAGUAUGCAGUGCUGGGGUUCGCUUCACUUGAUCGAUCGUCGACGGCAUCUAUCACCCCCUGAAGGGAACGGAGGGGCUUCUGCUCCCCCUAGCGAGGUGGAUAGGUCUAAUGAAAUGUACCUGAUAGUUGUAGAGGAUUUUGCUGCUCUACAUCUCCUUCCUUAUCGACUGCCCUACUCUUUGCUGAAUACUAGUGUAACAUGCCAUGUGGCAAACCCGCUUACAGACGCCGUUGCUCUGCAAGUGCUAGCUGUAGAGGAUUUUGCAUGCUGCUCUACAUCUCCUGAUGGACUGCCCUAG